UACGGGGGGGGCAAGCGUUGUUCGGAAUUACUGGGCGUAAAGGGCUCGUAGGUGGCCAACUAAGUCAGACGUGAAAUCCCUCGGCUUAACCGGGGAACUGCGUCUGAUACUGGAUGGCUUGAGUUUGGGAGAGGGAUGCGGAAUUCCAGGUGUAGCGGUGAAAUGCGUAGAUAUCUGGAGGAACACCGGUGGCGAAGGCGGCAUCCUGGACCAAUACUGACACUGAGGAGCGAAAGCUAGGGGAGCAAACGGG
rnacentral:rRNA from 1 species